UAAUAAUAAUAAUAAUAAUAAUAAUAAAGCAAAGGAAGGAGGAUAAAAAAAGGGAUGAGUUAGUGCACGAAACAUUACACACUUGGGCUUGCUCUACUAUGCAGAGAGGCUGUUUCCUUGUAGACACUGGUAGAGCAAGCCCAAGUGUGUAAUGUUUCCUUGUAGACACUGUUGAUAAUUUUAACCAUUGCUGUUUCCUUGAACACACUGUUCAUAAUUUUAACUAUUUAUCUAAUUUCUCUUCUCCCAAUAAUCAGAAUCCAUAACGAGUGGAUAAAGAUCCUGAGCAGAAGUGGAAGAUCCAGUCCAAGGUCCAUCCAGUGACAUACUUUGGGUCAUGCUGGUGCUUGUAUCCUGGUCAAUGCAGUGCUGAAAAUGCUUCCUCAUUGCUUCAAUUCUCAUCUCAUUAUGUGAUUGUGAGACACUUGAAUCCAAAACCAAAUCUUGAAUAGAGGCCUUGCCUUCCAACAUACUUACCACUGAAGACAUUGUAGGCCUAACUACUGGAGAGACACCAGUACAUAGCAGAGCCACGUUGAUCAAUGUCAUCACCUGUUCUUUGUUGUAGUUCUUCCCUAGUUUUGGAUCAACAAGCUCCAAUAAACUUCCUUUUUCUUUUAAAACAAGUGCCCAGUCAAGUAGAUAAAAGCAUUCCUCCUUCACAUUCUGUCGGUAACUAGUGUUGCUCCUCCCACUAACAAUUUCCAAGGCAACAACUCCAAAACUAUACACAUCUGCCUUAUCGGUUAAAUAACCUCGCAUUGCAUAUUCAGGUGCCAUAUAUCCAAAGGUUCCUGCAACUCGGGUACUUAUGUGGGUAUUCCCUUCUUCAUCAAGUUUGGCCAGACCAAAAUCAGAUAUCUUAGGAUUUAAAUUCUUAUCAAGCAGCACAUUAGUAGCUUUGAUAUCUCUGUGCACAAUCUUCAACCUUGAUUCUUCGUGAAGAAAGGCCAAACCUCUCGCUAUACCAAUGGAGAUAUUGUGUCUUGUAGGCCACUCCAAAUUCAACUGGCACCCUUCAGGACCAAACAAAGCACGCGCAAGGCUGUUAUUUUCCAUAUACUCAUACACCAGCAACAAUUGAUUUCCUUCAAUACAACAUCCAUAGAGCUUUACAAGAUGAGGGUGUUGGAGAGCAGAAAUCAUGCCAAUCUCAUUCACAAAUUCGCGAUUUCCCUGCUUGGAUUUGGAGGAAAGUUGCUUCACAGCAAUUAUGGUGCCAUCUGAAAGAAAGCCCUUAUAAACAGAACCAAAACCACCUUCUCCAAUUUUAUUAGCAGGAUCAAAGUUGUUAGUAGCAGCUUUAAUUUGUUUCAAUGUAAAUGAACCUGUUUGUAUAUCUAGGCCCCUUAGAUCUUGAUCCAUUUUAUCCUUAAGUCUUAAACAGCCUUUCCACCAGAGGACACCAAGAACCAGAAUGAUGAUAGCUACUACAGCAACCACAAUUCCAACCACGGUGCCUGCAGAUAUAUUACUGCCACUUUCUGGAGGAGGUACAAAAUCAGGAGUGACAGAAAUGGCUGAUAUUAGAGGACCAUAAACUCCUCUAGAAGGGAUACCAGUUGUCCCUUUUCCAUCCCAAUAAAAGCGUAUCUCCAAUGUAUGACUUGUUACAAUGGCUGUAAAAUUUUUGAUAAUGGCCUUACCAACCCCACCUGCUUCAUCUUCAAUGUUAAAAUCAUUUUGCACAAGCUUUCCCUGAAUGUAAAUAUCAAACAGGCGCCUACCAAGGCUGCUAUAUGUGUUGUCAUCAGUAAACAUUAUCUCUGCAAAGUGGAGUCUAACUGUGUAGUUCCCAUUUCCCAUGCAGAAACCGUAAUAAGUAAGAGAGAGUGGGGAAAGGCGUGCAUCCAUGUAUAGCGCAGAAGCGCCUGCUGAGAGUUCAGUUGAGUUUGUGCAGGUGUAGGAAUCCGUUGGACGGUCAUCAUCCAUGAAAUUUCCAGUGCUGCUGAAUGCCCAGUUAGUUCUGCUUUGGUAGAAUCUUGAAGGUCCAGCUGAGUCUACAUCAUCUUCAUAUGUAAUUUCCUCUACAUCACCUUCAUAUGUAAUUUCCUUACUCAUAGCUUCCUUCCCACCACAAUUUAUAUGGAAGGAAUAGAAAUAUUUUGGACAGUGGUAGCUUCUUAAGCAUGAAACAGUGGUAGAAACAUUUCCCAUUGAGGAGCUUCCAAAUAAGUUUACGGUCCGCUGUUGACAUAUGCUUUCAANNNNNNNNNNAAUUAUUAUAGGAAAGAUCAACAUUUUCUCCUUUUUCAAGUAUCCAGUCAGGCACUAUUCCAUUUAGUAGAUUUCCAGUUAAGUAUAUGUAAUCUGUUUUUACUGCACCAGAAAGGCUGGGUGGAAUUUCUCCUGUCAGUUUGUUAAAGCUGAGGUCUAAGGUUUUCAAUUUGGACAUUCCCCCGAGAAAGUCAGGUAGCUGUCCAAGAAUAUUGCAACUCCUCAGUAUUAGAGUCUUCAGGUUCUUCAUAUUACUCAAUGGUGGAAAUCGUGUUUCA
rnacentral:misc_RNA from 1 species